GACCUCAAAUCAGGUAGGACUACCCGCUGAACUUAAGCAUAUCAAUAAGCGGAGGAAAAGAAACUAACAAGGAUUCCCUAGUAACUGCGAGUGAAGAGGGAAAAGCUCAAAUUUAAAAUCUGUCAGUCUUUGGCUGACCGAGUUGUAAAUUAGAGAAGUGCUAUCUGCGCUGGCCUGUGCAAAAGUCUCUUGGAAAAGAGCAUCAUAGAGGGUGACAAUCCCGUCUUUGGUACAGAGCUCCAGGGCUUCAUGAUGUGCUCUCAAUGAGUCGAGUUGUUUGGGAAUGCAGCUCUAAAUGGGUGGUAAAUUCCAUCUAAAGCUAAAUAUUGGCGAGAAACCGAUAGCGCACAAGUACCGUGAGGGAAAGAUGAAAAGAACUUUGAAAAGAGAGUUAAACAGUACGUGAAAUUGUUGAAAGGGAAACGCUUGAAGUCAG
rnacentral:rRNA from 1 species